UACCUGCAGCUCAAGUGGUGGCCGCUAUUAUUGGGCCUAAAACGUUCGUAGCCGGUCUAGUAAAUGCCUGGGUAAAUCAUACGGCUUAACCGUACGAAUUCCGGGUAGACUGCUGGACUUGGGACUGGGAGAGGCUAGAGGUACUCCUGGGGUAGAGGUGAAAUUCUGUAAUCCUAGGGGGACGACCAGUGGCGAAGGCGUCUAGCUAGAACAGGUCUGACGGUGAGGAACGAAGCCCUGGGGCGCAAACGGG
rnacentral:rRNA from 1 species